rnacentral:rRNA from 1 species
ACGCUGGCGGCAUGCUUUACACAUGCAAGUCGGACGGCAGCACAGAGAAGCUUGCUUCUUGGGUGGCGAGUGGCGAACGGGUGAGUAAUAUAUCGGAACGUACCGAGUAAUGGGGGAUAACUAAUCGAAAGAUUAGCUAAUACCGCAUAUUCUCUGAGGAGGAAAGCAGGGGACCUUCGGGCCUUGCGUUAUUCGAGCGGCCGAUAUCUGAUUAGCUAGUUGGUGGGGUAAAGGCCUACCAAGGCGACGAUCAGUAGCGGGUCUGAGAGGAUGAUCCGCCACACUGGGACUGAGACACGGCCCAGACUCCUACGGGAGGCAGCAGUGGGGAAUUUUGGACAAUGGGCGCAAGCCUGAUCCAGCCAUGCCGCGUGUCUGAAGAAGGCCUUCGGGUUGUAAAGGACUUUUGUCAGGGAAGAAAAGGCUGUUGCUAAUACCGACAGCUGAUGACGGUACCUGAAGAAUAAGCACCGGCUAACUACGUGCCAGCAGCCGCGGUAAUACGUAGGGUGCGAGCGUUAAUCGGAAUUACUGGGCGUAAAGUGAGCGCAGACGGUUACUUAAGCAGGAUGUGAAAUCCCCGGGCUCAACCUGGGAACUGCGUUCUGAACUGGGUGACUAGAGUGUGUCAGAGGGAGGUAGAAUUCCACGUGUAGCAGUGAAAUGCGUAGAGAUGUGGAGGAAUACCGAUGGCGAAGGCAGCCUCCUGGGAUAACACUGACGUUCAUGCUCGAAAGCGUGGGUAGCAAACAGGAUUAGAUACCCUGGUAGUCCACGCCCUAAACGAUGUCAAUUAGCUGUUGGGCAACUUGAUUGCUUAGUAGCGUAGCUAACGCGUGAAAUUGACCGCCUGGGGAGUACGGUCGCAAGAUUAAAACUCAAAGGAAUUGACGGGGACCCGCACAAGCGGUGGAUGAUGU